rnacentral:rRNA from 1 species
AGCGGCGGACGGGUGAGUAACACGUGGGUAACCUGCCCAAGAGACUGGGAUAACACCUGGAAACAGAUGCUAAUACCGGAUAACAACACUAGACGCAUGUCUAGAGUUUGAAAGAUGGUUCUGCUAUCACUCUUGGAUGGACCUGCGGUGCAUUAGCUAGUUGGUAAGGUAACGGCUUACCAAGGCAAUGAUGCAUAGCCGAGUUGAGAGACUGAUCGGCCACAUUGGGACUGAGACACGGCCCAAACUCCUACGGGAGGCAGCAGUAGGGAAUCUUCCACAAUGGACGAAAGUCUGAUGGAGCAACGCCGCGUGAGUGAAGAAGGGUUUCGGCUCGUAAAGCUCUGUUGGUAGUGAAGAAAGAUAGAGGUAGUAACUGGCCUUUAUUUGACGGUAAUUACUUAGAGAGUCACGGCUAACUACGUGCCAGCAGCCGCGGUAAUACGUAGGUGGCAAGCGUUGUCCGGAUUUAUUGGGCGUAAAGCGAGUGCAGGCGGUUCAAUAAGUCUGAUGUGAAAGCCUUCGGCUCAACCGGAGAAUUGCAUCAGAAACUGUUGAACUUGAGUGCAGAAGAGGAGAGUGGAACUCCAUGUGUAGCGGUGGAAUGCGUAGAUAUAUGGAAGAACACCAGUGGCGAACGCGGCUCUCUGGUCUGCAACUGACGCUGAGCUCGAAAGCAUGGUAGCGAACAGGAUUAGAUACCCUGGUAGUCCAUGCCGUAAACGAUGAGUGCUAAGUGU